UGUGUGUGUGUGUGUGUGAGAGAGAGGUGGGGCGGUGGUUGUUUAUCUUGAAAAUGCAUCAUAUCCCACCAGUGGAUCAUCAUCCAUUCUGUUCUGGCUAUAGGAUAUCCCAUUUGUCUAUCCCUAGUUCACAAAAUGUGGCGUUGUUUCAGUAAAACGAACGUUUCUGAAAAGCGAGGGCAUUUAGAAUUGACUGGCGUGGUCGAUAUUAUUGAGAAAUGGCCUCUACUACGGGAAUCUGAUUCUCCACAACCAGACUCUACCAAACUCAAAUUAUUAUAAUUAUUUCUCCAGAAAAACACAAGUUUCUGUAUCCUAAUAUUUAGCUGUUAGUCUCUGUGUAGCAUACCAAUUAUAAUCGCUUGAUAAUUAUUGAUGCUGGUGACUGCAUUACCUCUGCCUGUGCAGUGGCACCUCAGUAGUAUCAAUCCGCAUUUAAAGUGACAGGAUUUUUGGUAACGGUACAUCCUUCUUGACUGGUACGGCACGGUUGUUCAUCUUCACACUACGCAUCGCAGUACACCUCGCCUACCUGUCUGAUUAACGAAACCACUCCUGAAGGUGGACUAAACCUAAGCUACUGACCAAAGACGACACUAUGGAUGCACGUCUAACUGCAAUUACCAGUCUCGUUUUAGUCUUAUCCACCACGGUAACAGGGUUCUGGUUCACACCAAUGGGCCCUCAGAUAUACUCCUGCCUCACCUACACAGAGAAGAACCUGAGAGUGGACUGUGAAUUUCCAGCCACCGAUCAAAUUCCAGGGCCAUACUGUGAGUUCAAGCAGGAUGGAAAGAUCAUUGGAACCACAUUUCCCAAUGUUCCCUCGUUUCUCAUCCCCACCCUUGAGGUCAGACGGCGCGCCAAUGUCUCACUGGUUUCCCCAACCAUUUGCCGCCUCACCUGGGCACCUAUGGCUGAUGACCGGUCCUACACCUACACUUGCAGGGUGUAUCAGGGAAGUAGUUGGAAGGAGAACAGCAUGGCAUUUCACCAGAAAAAUGUUCUUGUCUGCUCUGCUAUAAGCAUAAUAUUCCACACUGGACCAUGGCUGCUUGGGAUUGUGAUAUCACUUCCUGUUUCUUUGGGGGUUCUGUCUGUAUGGUGAACUACAAACAAGAAGUCGGUCCAAGUGCAGCAGACCAACUUUGAAGACCGUUUUAUAAUAUAUAUUUUUUUUCAAUUUGUUUUGUAACACUAUCCUUAGUAUGAGCAUAUGAUUGAGCUUUACACAAUCAUUGAAUAAUGCACUGGUAAUUGUUCACCUCUUAGCUUCCACCAGAGUAUGGUUUUCUGUAAAAAUAUCUUAAAUGAUACUCUCGAUAUUUUUUAAAGCGAUAUAGAACAUGGGGGUCAUAUGUGUGGUUUAUUUCAGCCACACUAACUUUUAUUUGAUUCUCAUGAUCACUUGCAUGACUACAGUUAUAGCCUCACAUCAGGUCAAGUUAGGUUUGCAGAGACGGAAGGCAUGGUGCUAUUUUUCGACUGGAAUAUACAGAUGGUCUAAUGCUGUAUGAGCAUCCACAAAUACUCCCCUUAGCUCUCAAGAGGACUUGCCUGUUUGCACCAAUCUAAUACAGAUGGUGCUGGAUUGAUUCUGGGCAUGAUUUUGUUUUGUAUUUUGCAAUCAACUGUACUCGAGCCUGUGUAUGUAUUAACAUAACUCAACUUUCUCAUACACGUGGCAUACAAGAUGACAUAGAGUCUCUAAGUUGUAUCCCCAGUGUCUACAAUGGACCCAUACUAAUCUAGUAUCAUGAAGUAAUCAGAAGGUACUACCAAAUUACCCUUUUCAGAGGAGACACCAACAUCCAGUAUUGUCAAAACAUCUUGUCAAAUUAUGUUACAUGUACACACUAUUUUGAGCUGUGCACAGAUAGUUGCGUAGUAUCAUAUUAGUCAAUAGAUUGGUAUUGGCCCAUACACCAAACUCAAUCAGGAAUCAGCACUAGUAGUAUAUAAUAGGUUACCAUUUAUUGCACUAAGGAUAGGUAUACCUCUCUGUAAUAGGUUAGCUUUUAUCACAUUAUGGGUCAGCAGUUGUUUCAAGUCUUCCUUUAGACCUCAGUGUUAUUGCACCAUCUAUUUCUCUUCUGUAGAACUCUGUGCAUUGACACUCAAACUUUUGUACUUUUUUGAGAGUUCUUUACAGCAGGUAUUUAUAUAUCAUUUACAGUAUCAUUUACUGUAAUUGUUUUCAUGGUUGCACUGCAUUUACAAAGAUACCUGAGCGUUAUGAUACAUUAUAACAAUCAUCAGCAUAAUUUCUGUAUGCAUUUUUGUAUUUUUUAACAGUCAAAUAAUGUUCUUUACAGACUGGCCUAUUUAGAGCCUUGGCUUAUUGGUACUGCGACAGUGGUUAUUUGAUCAAAGGAAAUUGAUAAGAUUUUGCAGCCUCCUGCUAAUAGGUUUAAUGGCUGUUUCCAUUACUCUCACCCCACAACACGUUUGCCUGGAACCUUUUGUAGUGCAUCUCUGAAAACAAAGCAGCUAAUGGGUCCUGUAUUAUUCUAAUCUUAAUUUUGGCCUUGGAGCAAGUCUGUAUGAGAACCAGCCUGGCUGAAGGACAUCACUGAUAGAUUGUAUUUCUACUGUUAUGUAAAGACACACGAUGCAAUGUUGAAAUUAAAUAUCAGCAUCACCCAUUUUGGUCAAGGGCAGUGUAAGCAGAGAGAUAAAUAAAGUGGGUUUCAGCUUAGUGAGUAUGGUACUCUAUAUUCGCUGCUAAAUCUUGGUAAGAAAUUGGCAUCUCUAUCCCAUAUUGUUGUCUAUGUGGACACGCUGAGGGUACAUGCAACAAACUUUUAAAUACUCUCAUCUUCUCCCCACUUUACCACCACCUCAGCUUCCACUGUGUUGCUAAUUGCAUUAAAUGUCUCUUAGGUGAGUUAUAGAUAAAUGACACUGCUUCCCUCAUUCAAAUGCCAAAUGUCUUGCAACAUAUACUGCUUUGCUCAUCAAGCACUUUUAAGCAUAAAUAAUGCAUGGCUUCCACACUGUGCCUUUUAUUAAUAUUGUACAAGAUUUCUUUCCUGGCGGUGCAUCAACAAUUAUUACUCAAGACUAUGAUUUGCAUCUGCAACACACAAAGAGACAUAUCUCUCUCUCUCUCUCUCUGUCUCUGUUUGUCUCUCUCUGUCUCUGUCUCUCUGUCUCUGUCUCUCACUGCACUUAAUAAAAGGAUCAAUGUAGAAAAUUGGCAAAAGAUAGAAAAUAAAGAUAUUACGACUGUAAA